rnacentral:rRNA from 1 species
AGAGUUUGAUCAUGGCUCAGAUUGAACGCUGGCGGCAGGCUUAACACAUGCAAGUCGAGCGGAGAUGAGGUGCUUGCACCUUAUCUUAGCGGCGGACGGGUGAGUAAUGCUUAGGAAUCUGCCUAUUAGUGGGGGACAACAUUCCGAAAGGAAUGCUAAUACCGCAUACGUCCUACGGGAGAAAGCAGGGGAUCUUCGGACCUUGCGCUAAUAGAUGAGCCUAAGUCGGAUUAGCUAGUUGGUGGGGUAAAGGCCUACCAAGGCGACGAUCUGUAGCGGGUCUGAGAGGAUGAUCCGCCACACUGGGACUGAGACACGGCCCAGACUCCUACGGGAGGCAGCAGUGGGGAAUAUUGGACAAUGGGGGGAACCCUGAUCCAGCCAUGCCGCGUGUGUGAAGAAGGCCUUAUGGUUGUAAAGCACUUUAAGCGAGGAGGAGGCUACUGAGACUAAUACUCUUGGAUAGUGGACGUUACUCGCAGAAUAAGCACCGGCUAACUCUGUGCCAGCAGCCGCGGUAAUACAGAGGGUGCGAGCGUUAAUCGGAUUUACUGGGCGUAAAGCGUGCGUAGGCGGCUUUUUAAGUCGGAUGUGAAAUCCCCGAGCUUAACUUGGGAAUUGCAUUCGAUACUGGGAAGCUAGAGUAUGGGAGAGGAUGGUAGAAUUCCAGGUGUAGCGGUGAAAUGCGUAGAGAUCUGGAGGAAUACCGAUGGCGAAGGCAGCCAUCUGGCCUAAUACUGACGCUGAGGUACGAAAGCAUGGGGAGCAAACAGGAUUAGAUACCCUGGUAGUCCAA